rnacentral:rRNA from 1 species
CCUACGGGAGGCAGCAGCAAGGAAUUUUCCGCAAUGGGCGCAAGCCUGACGGAGCAACGCCGCGUGCGGGAGGACGCCUUUCGGGGUGUAAACCGCUGUUCGUGGGGACGAAGCACUGACGGUACCCACGGAGGAAGGCCCGGCUAACUACGUGCCAGCAGCCGCGGUAAUACGUAGGGGCCGAGCGUUGUCCGGAGUUACUGGGCGUAAAGCGUGCGCAGGCGGUCUGUCGCGCCCGGCGUGAAAGCCCCCGGCUUAACCGGGGGGGGUCGUCGGGGACGGGCAGACUUGAGGACAGCAGGGGCUGGUGGAAUUCCCGGUGUAGUGGUGAAAUGCGUAGAGAUCGGGAGGAACACCCGUGGCGAAGGCGGCCAGCUGGGCUGGACCUGACGCUGAGGCACGAAGGCGUGGGGAGCGAACGGGAUUAGAUACCCCGGUAGUCCACGCAGUAAACGAUGCAGACUAGGCGUGGGGGGACUUGACCCCCUCCGUGCCGGAGCUAACGCGGGAAGUCUGCCGCUUGGGGAGUACGGCCGCAAGGCUAAAACUCAAAUGAAUUGACGGGG